GUAGGGAAUAUUGCGCAAUGGACGAAAGUCUGACGCAGCGACGCCGCGUGAGUGAUGAAGGCCUUAGGGUCGUAAAGCUCUGUUGAAUGGGAAGAAAAAAAUGACGGUACCAUUCGAGGAAGGACCGGCUAACUUCGUGCCAGCAGCCGCGGUAAUACGAGGGGUCCUAGCGUUGUUCGGAAUCAUUGGGCGUAAAGGGUGUGUAGGUGGCCAUGUAAGUCAGGUGUGAAAGCCCCGGGCUCAACCCGGGAAGUGCACUUGAUACUGCGUGGCUUGAGUACCGAAGAGGGUAGUGGAAUUCCAGGUGUAGUGGUGAAAUACGUAGAUAUCUGGAGGAACACCGGUGGCGAAGGCGGCUACCUGGUCGAGUACUGACACUGAGACACGAAAGCAUGGGGAUCAAACCGGAUUAGAAACCCUAGUAGUCC
rnacentral:rRNA from 1 species